AUUACAUCCACCCUGGGCAGCUUUCUUGAGCCUUGGGGGACCAGCUUAAUGAUGAACCCUAAUUUUCUGUUGUCCCUUGCUGCCUAUCUAAGACUGCGAGCGAUCUGAAUGCAACACUCGGAGCACUCAAAUGUGAGCAGAAAUACAGCUUUUCAUGUAAACUAAGUGAAGAAGGAGACAACAGCUCAACAAGCAUAAAGGGAGAUGCUCAGGCUUGUUGGCAAUCAGACAGUGGUAAGAUGGACACCUA